rnacentral:misc_RNA from 1 species
CAGUGUUAGGCUUCGGCCUCAUGCACACCCCUUGUUUAACCUCCGGUUUCUUUGGCGAUGUCAUGGACUCGUCAAACGUUAACUCUGGUAAUGCGAUACCGUCCGAGUGCGAUUGAAUUAUCA